AAUUUGUAGAGGAUGUUUCUGGCGACGUGCCUUCCGAGUUCCCUGGAACGGGACGCCAUAGAGGGUGAGAGCCCCGUACGGUUGGAUGCCUAGCCUCUGUGAAACUCCUUCGACGAGUCGAGUAGUUUGGGAAUGCUGCUCUAAAUGGGAGGUAUACGUCUUCUAAAGCUAAAUACCGGCCAGAGACCGAUAGCGCACAAGUAGAGUGAUCGAAAGAUGAAAAGCACUUUGAAAAGAGGGUUAAAAAGUACGUGAAAUUGUUGAAAGGGAAGCGUUCAUGACCAGACUUGGGCAGGUUGAUCAUCCGUGGUUCUCCGCGGUGCACUCUGCCUGCCCAGGCCAGCAUCAGUUCGCCCCGGGGGAUAAAGGUUUUGGGAAUGUGGCUCCCUCGGGAGUGUUAUAGCCCACUGCGUAAUACCCUGGGGUGGACUGAGGUUCGCGCUCUGCAAGGAUGCUGGCGUAAUGGUCAUCAACGACCCGUCUUGAA
rnacentral:rRNA from 1 species